CGCCACCAAUGACAAUUGCUUGAGUAUUGUUAGCAGUGGACAUGUUGAAUCUCAAUGUACUAAAAAAAGACGCUGAGUUUGUAGAGGGUAUGAAAGGAAGACGCCUAAAAGUCCAUGUAUAAAUCGUUAAGCAUCGCAUUUUUUGGAAUCUUACGAUAAAUUCAAUUUGCGAAUAUUAGUGAUUUGAAAGGAACAUUAAAGAAAAUCGCUUCAACGUUUGCGUUUCCUUCCUAAGAUAAAGGCAUCGAAGAGAAAAGCAGCUAUUUUUUAACAGAAAGCAAAUAAACACGGACUUAUUGAAUCCGAUUAUUCGUGGUUAGAUGCUGUCUGCAUUUGGUACGAUCGAGUUAGGAGUGGAAGACCUUUAAUCAUCGUUAUAAAAGCUUACGAAUAGUGGUAGUAUUUAGAUGAAUACACCCAAAAAACGAAUGCCAGAAUGAAGAAACAAUUAGGUAUGCGGGAGUAUGGAACAUUAAUGCCAAAAAAGAAAAAAAAAUAAAUACAAAAUGUUUUCUUGCAAAAAAUGUUCCAUUCCAAAGUACCGACGCGUCGUCAUAACCGCUGAGGAAAGUAAAAGUCAGUACAUUGCGAAAAAGAAUUGCCUGGCAAUUUUCCCUAAUAGUAGAAAAAUUAGAAAUCAAAGUGUUUAAACAAUAAUUUUUCUCUAUAAUAUGAUGGGUUAAAGGACCACACAGUAAUUUCUAAAAAGAUAAAAUUUGUUUACACAAGUUGGUAAA